UUUUAUUUUUUUUCCAUAAUAGAAUUAAAAAUUAUUUAUUUUUAUGAAUAUAUAUUUUUAUUAACAAAUGAUCCAUUAUAUCAUGGAUUUGUAGUCACAUAUAUUUUAUUUGCAUACAAAUCUUAAGAAAAAUAAGUGUAAUUUGAUAAAUAAGUGAAAAGGGUCAGUACGCAUUAACAAAAUUAGGAUAAGUGUAAUUUGCCAUUGAAAUUUUGAAUUGUGACUUUAAAAUUAUAAAAAUCUAAAUACAAAAGAAAUUAAAGAUUUGAUCCAUGAUAUGAUGGAUCAUUUGUUCAUAAAAAGGACCAUGUGAACAAAUCAAACAUAAAAAUAGAAUUAAAAUAUCAUCCUUUUUAUGAUGGAUCAUUUGUUUGAUUUGAUUUGAUCCAUGAUAUGAUAAAUCAUUUGUUCAUAAAAAGGGCUAUAUGAACAAAUCAAACAUAAAAAUAGAAUUAAAAUAUCAUCCUUUUUAUGAUGGAUUCUUAUUCAUAAAAAGGACCAUGUGAACAAAUCAAACAUAAAAAUAUAAUUAAAAAUAUGCAUAUAUUUUUAUGAACAAAUGAUCCAUUAUAUCAUGGAUCAACUUGUAGUCACAUAUAUUUUAUUUGCAUACAAAUUUUAAGAAAAAUAAGUGUAAUUUGAUAAAUAAGAGAAAAAGUCGGUAUGUAUUAACAAAAUUAGGGUUAGUGUAAUUUAUCAUUGAAAUUUUGAAUUGUGACUCUAAAAUUAUAAAAAUCUAAAUAAAAAAGAAAUUAAAGAUUUUUGUGUGAUAAGUUUCGACUUUUGACUAUUUGCUAAACAGAAUAAAAACUUCUCACCCCUUCUUUAUUUUCUUUUUAUUUACUAAAGAUAAAUAGUUUGACUUCGUAUUCCAAUUAUUAGCGCUUUACUAAACAAUCAUUCAACCCGGUCCAAAGCAACUAUCCAACCUAAUCCAUUACUCUUGGAUGCUUCCUAACGGAAAGGUCAUUGAAUUAGUCCUUGACUUUCUUCAUAGAAAAUGUACAUGCAUCAUCACCAAACAAAAUCACCAAAAAGAAAAAUACAUCGUAAUAUUUAAAAAGACUAAAUUAUAUUUAAAAAGACUAAAUUAUACCUACAGCAUUUUGUUAAAUCAUUAUUUCAGAAUGUAAAAUUGAAAGUAGCUUUAAGUGCAAAACUGUCAUUAGAGUAAGUAAAACAAUGCAUACCUAAUUACUUCAAAUAUCCGAAGAGAGACCUAAUUUCUUCACUUUAGAGAAAGAAAGAGGUGACACCUAAAAGUGAGUUGGCACUUAACACUAAGCUUUAUUUACAAAAAUAGUAAUCGACACAACUUAGGUGAAGCAAAUGAGUUGUACUAUUAAAUAGAAAUGAUGGUCCUUUCUUAUUAAUCCUAACCUACCCUGCAUUAUUUUGUUUUUCAAAUUUAAUUUUAAAGCAGUUAGUCGGCUUUCAGAGGGCCCACAUGAAAGAUGAUAAUAACAAAUAUUCGGUGAAAGGUUGGUCAUCUGACCAACUUGAGUACCUCGGUAUAUUUCUCAGCCCAAAUUUGUGUCUCAUGACACAUGUUUUUUUGUACCAUAUGGGACUGGGGGUUGUGCCUUGUAAUUUGUAGCUCAAAAUAAUGUUAGUGAAUUAGUGGGAGUAAUUUAACAUUUACGUGUAAUUGGGUAGACAAAUGUUUUUAAAGUCUACGUAAAAUUCAUGUCAUCUAAUCAGUUUUAGCAAUUGAAAUAGUAAAGUGAAAAAAGAAAGAAGAAAAAAAAAAAAAUUGUGUAUGUAAUUUACUUAUUUUGAACAAAGUGAUAUGAAUUAAAAUUUAAUUCACAACAUAUUUAUUACAGAUCUCUUUUAUUGUUAAUUGGUGUGUCUAGCUCCUAAGACGGCAAUGACUCCAUAUAUGUCCCUCUCUUCAUCCUUCUUCUAGAAAUCAAUCAUUGUACGUGUUGGAAUUUGAUGUUACACAAAUUUGGGAUUGAUUUAAAUGCAAUGACGUGUUUAUGUAACUACAUAGUACACACAUAUACAUAUAUAUGAGAGACAGGUGAAGGACUGAUAAAAUAAUAGAGGAGAGAGAGACAGGUGAAGGACUGAUAAGAUAAUUGAAUAUAUAUAUAUAUAUAUAUAUAUAUAUAUUCAAUAAAAUAAUAGAAAGAGACCUUCAUCUGUCUCUUCACCGGCUAGCUUGCGAAAGAGACCAACUGCUUUUAAUAAGACUCACGAUGUGAUGUGAGUGUUACUGUCUCCGUGUUUCAGUCCACUCAUUCCCUUUCUUUACAGAGUAAUAAUAUUAUGAGACCUUUCUCAUAACAAUUCUCACGAACUCUUUUAUUUUUUUAUGUCAUGAUUGUAUAAAUAUGGAGAGAGAGUUUAACUGUUUGAAAGAUAAUUGUUUAAAGAUUAUAUAAUUAAAAUUUCGUACCAAAAUUCAUCACUUGAAACAACCAAAGUUUUACAUUCUUUGUUUUGAUCGAAUUACACUAUUAACUUUGACCGUCUCAUAUAUUUUUUUUUAUUGUAUUUUGAAUUGAUCUGUUUACGGUAGGACUGCAACUCAAGUGGGUUUGAGGUAUGAAAACACGCCAUGAUAUAUAAGAUCUUGAAAGUAUAGGGAAAUUCAACAUCUCCUUUAAUUAACAAGCUUAAGAAUCCAUAUAUGAAUGGAAGGAAAUUUCCCCACUAUAACUAACUAAUUUCACAUAAUACUACAAUAAUAUAUUAAAGUAUUAACUAGAGAAGUGGUCAUAUUUCACAUAAUACUACAAUAAUAUAUAAAGUAUUAAGUUGUUAUUAUGACGGACGUCGUGACCUAGCUUAGUUUUGGCUUGUCUGGAGUUGGUUGUUUUGUCAGUUUACUGUGGGUCUUUGUGGUACAUGAUAUUUGUAUGAGCUUGGUGUUUGCUUUGUAAGUGCCGUUGGGCAGGUUUUUUCUGCCAGGGUUAAAAAAAAAAAAAAAAAAAAAAAAAAAUGGUCAACAUUAAUAACUCGACUGUCACUUCCCUCUCUCUCUCUCUCCAUCUUUUUCUCUCUCUAACUCUUCAAGUCAAUUCACGCGCUAGGUCUUAUAACCAGCUCAUGCACUAUACACAUCCAUUUACGUUCAAGGACAAUAUCUCUCUUAAGCAAAAGUCUUAAACACAUACUCAAGUGUUGUUCUCUAAAAUUGGCAUUGUUGGAGCUGGCAUAAGCGGUAUUUCUGCUGCUAAACAGCUGGCCAAACGCCACCCAGUGGUGUUUGAGGCCACUGACUGCCUUGGAGGGGUCUGGAAACAUUCUUCUUUCGAGUCCACUAAGCUUCAGACCUUUGUGAUUAUGAGUUUUUGGAUUAUCCUUGGCCUAAUAGGGAUAAUUCGAGUUUUCCAUCUAAUUUAGAGAUAUUGGAUUACUUAUAUUCUUAUGCUACCUACUUUGAUUUGCUCAAGUUCAACUCAAAGGUGGUAGAAAUCCGGUUUUUUGGUGAUCGUGAAACCUCCGAUCUGGUGGUAAGCCGGGAGAAUAUGCAACUUUGCUGACUGGCCAGCCAGUAUGGGAGGUUGCUGUCCGGGACUCAAACUCUCUUAUGCUACUUUUCUCUCAAUCCCAUCUUCUUCUACUUCUUCACUACUCAAGAGUUCCAUUUUUGCCAAGGUGAACAAAGGUGGGGUGCCUCCAUCAUUUACAUUGAAAGAUCAGGAUGGAAAGACUGUGAGCCUCUCCAAAUUCAAAGGCGAGCCUUUGUUGUCUAUUUCUACCCUGCUGAUGAAAUCCUGGUUGCACCAAACAGGCAUGUGCUUUCAGGGACUCCUAUGAAAAGGUUAAGAAAGCAGGAGCUGAGGUUGUCGGCAUAAGCGGGGAUGAUCCAUCAUCACACAAGGUAAUGCAAAACAUCUUGCCCUUGACACAUUCUAAGCAAUAGAUA